CAGCAGGUUUGUAGCAAUACAGAUGCUGGCGACCGGCAAACGGGUGCGGAACACGUACACAACCUUCCUUUAAGUGGGGAAUAGCCCAGAGAAAUUUGGAUUAAUACCCCGUAAUAUUAUGAUGUGGCAUCACAUUAUAAUUAUAGCUCCGGCGCUUAAUGAUGGGUGUGCGGCUGAUUAGAUAGUUGGCGGGGUAACGGCCCACCAAGUCUGCGAUCAGUAACUGGUGUGAGAGCACGACCAGUCACACGGGCACUGAGACACGGGCCCGACUCCUACGGGAGGCAGCAGUAAGGAAUAUUGGUCAAUGGACGCAAGUCUGAACCAGCCAUGCCGCGUGGAGGAUGAAGGUCCUCUGGAUUGUAAACUUCUUUUAUAUGGGACGAAAAAGGGCCUUUCCAGGUCAACUGACGGUACCAUAUGAAUAAGCACCGGCUAACUCCGUGCCAGCAGCCGCGGUAAUACGGAGGGUGCAAGCGUUAUCCGGAUUCACUGGGUUUAAAGGGUGCGUAGGUGGGUUGGUAAGUCAGCGGUGAAAUCUCCGAGCUUAACUUGGAAACUGCCAUUGAUACUAUCAGUCUUGAAUAUUGUGGAGGUUAGCGGAAUAUGUCAUGUAGCGGUGAAAUGCUUAGAUAUGACAUAGAACACCAAUUGCGAAGGCAGCUGGCUACGCAUAUAUUGACACUGAGGCACGAAAGCGUGGGGAUCAAACAGGAUUAGAUACCCUGGUAGUCCACGCCCUAAACUAUGGAUACUCGACAUACGCGAUACACAGUGUGUGUCUGAGCGAAAGCAUUAAGUAUCCCACCUGGGAAGUACGAUCGCAAGAUUGAAACUC
rnacentral:rRNA from 1 species